rnacentral:rRNA from 1 species
ACGCUCGACACCUACGGGAGGCAGCAGUUAGGAAUAUUGGGCAAUGGAGGAAACUCUGACCCAGCAACGCCGCGUGAAGGAAGAAGGUUUUCGGAUUGUAAACUUCUGAUCUAGGGGAAGAAGGAAGUGACGGUACCCUAGGAGAAAGCCACGGCUAACUACGUGCCGGCAGCGCGGUAAUCUGAGCGGGCUGGCAAGGC